rnacentral:tRNA from 1 species
ACCUGGCUGGCUCAGUCGGUGGAGCAUGUGACCCUUCAUCUUGAGGUCGUGGGUUCAAGCCCCAUGUUUGGUA